UGGGCUAAAGGAACAGAUUCCUAGAGAUU
rnacentral:piRNA from 1 species